AAAAGACCAAACAUUCAUUAUGAUUUGAAGCCUAACAAUGUUCUUCUAGAUGAUGAUAUGGUUGCUCAUGUGUUUGAUUUUGGUCUGGCAAGAUUCCUAUCAACUUCCUAUGAUUCGUCUCAAAGUAAAUUUAGCACCACUGGAAUCAAAGGAACAAUUGGUUAUGCAGCUCCAGGUAUCUGGCCAUCUUCAUUCUAAUCAUAUUUUAUUCAUUGAUAAUGGUAACAAUUCAACCCAACUAAUUCUAUGAAUUUUUAGAAUAUGGAAUGGGCUUUGAAGCAUCG
rnacentral:misc_RNA from 1 species